GAUGAAGAACGUAGCGAAAUGCGAUAAGUAGUGUGAAUUGCAGAAUUCAGUGAAUCAUCGAAUCUUUGAACGCACAUUGCGCCCUUUGGUAUUCCUUAGGGCAUGCCUGUUCGAGCGUCAUUUAAACCCUUCAAGCUCAGCUUGGUGUUGGGUGACUGUCCGCCGCCCCCGGGCGCGGACUCGCCCCAAAUUCAUUGGCGGCCGGUACGUAGGCUUCGAGCGCAGCAGAAACGCGAACUCGGGCCCGCGGUGUCGGCUCCCAGAAGCCAUCUCUUUUAUUUUGACCUCGGAUCAGGUAGGGAUACCCGCUGAACUUAAGCAUAUCAAUAAGCGGAGGA
rnacentral:misc_RNA from 1 species